CAUAAUUACAUUAUAAAUGUAUAUUAAUAUGCAAAAAAAAAUCUAUAGAAACAAUCCUUGUUCCCUUCAGUGACUUAGAAACAUGGGAUUCAUAUGCUUUGAUUUCUGCAAUGAUGUUCCAAUGUUUACAAUCAAAAACUGACAUGUAGGAAAACACACUUGUAAAUGUUUCAGGGCACUGUGCAGUGCACACCUGAAAGUUGGCAAGGUGAUGGAGAAACUGGUUGAACUGACUGAAGCUGUGGAGAACAGAUUGGCUGCAGGAGCAGUAACAUCAGCAACUCUGCAGCAGAUUCCUACAACCCAUCUCGUGAGGUAAAAAGGAUCCACAGGAGUCUGGAGGAUGGGCACAAAUACAGAGGAAAUGAGAGAUUCAAGUCUGAGCACAACUCCGGUGGCACAAAUUCAAUGUUGUGGACAAUUGCAGAUGAAGAGGAAUGUGACACCUCUUUGAUCAGAAGAGCAACAGAUACUUUGAGAACAUCAGGAGGGAAUCUAAGUUAUCAGAAGACAAAGUGGAAGAGGAUCGGAGGG